AGUUGAUAUCUCAGUCCUCAAUGAAACUAUUAAUACUACACUUACUUCUUUGUGUGGUUAUCUCAUCGAUAAGUGCCAAAUCUCCACCCCUAUGUUGUUUGCCACACAGCAAAGGGAUAACGACGGGGGAAGCAUUUUAUAUGUUCACCUACAACAAAGAAAUAUUUGAAUGCGUCCCCUUUAUUUACUCGGGAUCUGGAGGAAAUGAUAAUCGCUUUUGGUCCAAAAGGGAUUGCGAGGAGACAUGUCUGGCAUCCGCUGAAACUUAACUGUACAUCCAUCACGGAUCAAAAACCUAUUAUCCAAUCCACAAAACCACUCACCGUUACCCAUCAAUAAAAAAUAUACAAA